CCCUUAGAUGUCCUGGGCCGCACGCGCGCUACACUGAUGCAUUCAACGAGUUUUUCCUUGGCCGAGAGGCCUGGGCAAUCUUGUGAACGUGCAUCGUGAUAGGGAUAGAUUCUUGCAAUUAUUAAUCUUGAACGAGGAAUUCCUAGUAAACGCAGAUCAUCAAUCUGCAUUGAUUACGUCCCUGCCCUUUGUACACACCGCCCGUCGCACCUACCGAUUGAAUGGUCCGGUGAAGCCUCGAGAUUGUGGCUAGCUUGCUUCAUUGCGAGUUAGUUGCGAGAACUUGUCUAAACCUUAUCAUUUAGAGGAAGGUGAAGUCGUANCA
rnacentral:rRNA from 1 species